UACGUAGGGGGCUAGCGUUGUCCGGAAUCAUUGGGCGUAAAGAGCGUGUAGGCGGUUCGAUAAGUCUGCUGUGAAAGUCAAAGGCUUAACCUUUGAAUGCCAGUGGAUACUGUCGGACUAGAGUGCGGAAGAGGCAAGUGGAAUUCCUGGUGUAGCGGUGAAAUGCGCAGAUAUCAGGAGGAACACCAACGGCGAAGGCAGCUUGCUGGGACGUUACUGACGCUGAGACGCGAAAGCGUGGGGAGCAAACAGG
rnacentral:rRNA from 1 species